CAGUAGCCGCGGUAAUACGAAGGGUGCAAGCGUUAAUCGGAAUUACUGGGCGUAAAGCGUGCGUAGGCGGUUUGUUAAGUCUGUUGUGAAAUCCCCGGGCUCAACCUGGGAAUGGCAAUGGAUACUGGCAAGCUAGAGUGUGUCAGAGGAUGGUGGAAUUCCCGGUGUAGCGGUGAAAUGCGUAGAGAUCGGGAGGAACAUCAGUGGCGAAGGCGGCCAUCUGGGACAACACUGGCGCUGAGGCACGAAAGCGUGGGGAGCAAACAGGAUUAGAUACCCCCGUAGUCCCUGUCUCUUAUAC
rnacentral:rRNA from 1 species